rnacentral:rRNA from 1 species
GAGUUUGAUCGUGGCUCAGAUUGAACGCUGGCGGAAUGCUUUACACAUGCAAGUCGAGCGGCAGCGCGGGGCAACCUGGCGGCGAGCGGCGAACGGGUGAGUAAUGCAUCGGAACAUGUCCAUGUCGUGGGGGAUAGCCCGGCGAAAGCCGGAUUAAUACCGCAUACGCCCGAGAGGGGAAAGUGGGGGACCGCAAGGCCUCACGCGAUUGGGUUGGCCGAUGUCCGAUUAGCUAGUUGGUGGGGUAAAGCCUACCAAGGCGAUGAUCGGUAGCUGGUCUGAGAGGAUGAUCAGCCACACUGGGACUGAGACACGGCCCAGACUCCUACGGGAGGCAGCAGUGGGGAAUUUUGGACAAUGGGGGCAACCCUGAUCCAGCCAUUCCGCGUGAGUGAAGAAGGCCUCGGUUGUAA